GACGAACGCUGGCGGCGUGCUUAACACAUGCAAGUCGAACGGAAAGGCCCUGCUUUUGUGGGGUGCUCGAGUGGCGAACGGGUGAGUAACACGUGAGUAACCUGCCCUUGACUUUGGGAUAACUUCAGGAAACUGGGGCUAAUACCGGAUAGGAGCUCCUGCUGCAUGGUGUGGGUUGGAAAGUUUCGGCGGUUGGGGAUGGACUCGCGGCUUAUCAGCUUGUUGGUGGGGUAGUGGCUUACCAAGGCUUUGACGGGUAGCCGGCCUGAGAGGGUGACCGGCCACAUUGGGACUGAGAUACGGCCCAGACUCCUACGGGAGGAAGCAGUGGGGAAUAUUGCACAAUGGGCGGAAGCCUGAUGAAGCAAGGCCGCGUGCGGGAUGACGGCCUUCGGGUUGUAAACCGCUUUCGCCUGUGACGAAGCGUGAGUGACGGUAAUGGGUAAAGAAGCACCGGCUAACUACGUG
rnacentral:rRNA from 1 species